ACCCUGUCAGAAAAUUCCUAAGCUGAGAACAACGUGCUUCUCUGUGGCCGAGAGGAUCCCUGUGCUUACUGUAAAUCAGCUCAGAGGGACGUCCCUCUGUUGAGACAGCGUGCAUGGAGCUGACUGCCUGGACACAGAGAACGAAGCAGACUUGCCAGCCAGCCAGCCCUGGGUUACCUCCUUUCAUGGCAGAGAAGCACAAGAGGCAAAAUCGCAGCUCCCCGGAAGUAGGGUUUGCUCCAUCACUGAGCAACCCCUUUUGAAAGAAGGGCUUCUGCACUCCCUCUUGGAGACAGCUCUGGUCAGAAGGAACCUGCUGGCAGCAAGAAUGUUCCUCAGGGUUCUGCAGAAGGGAUGGACAGAAGACACGGUCUCCUCACCAUUCAACUCAAGAAGCAGUCUUCUUUCUGAAGGAGCUGCACAGAACCCAAGGCAGCACUCACAGGAGACCUCUGGCUCUUAGACACAGGGUCUGUUUUUGGGUGGUCCUGCAUGGAGCCAGGAGUUGGACUCAAUGAGCCCUGUGGGUCCCUUCCACCUCGGGAUAUUCUGUGGAUCUAUGUUCUGCUUCUGCACCGCCCCAGAUUAACUCAGUUCCACUCCAUGCAGAUUCACUCCAAUGCAUCCACAUCUGAAAAAUGGCCCAAGAAAAGGCCAAAGCAAGCAGGGGCUCUUUCAACUGUUUUCACCUCUGUUCCAUUUUGUGAUUGGACAGAACACAAACUUAUUGAAAAGACUGAAGAACUUGGCCUACAGAAGGUGAUGUUGCAGGGAAGGACAUGCUGAGCAACGCUAAUCCAGGAAGGACAUCAUUUUGAAUUCUGUCCAGCACUUUCUUCUGCUGUAAAUGACCUGUGUGUCAUCCUUGUGCAUAAUCUCUAUAAUCAAACAGCACCAUGAACUUGCAAGAUAUGUUCACAGGAGCAUUUUCCUUGCUUAAACCGUUUCUCUUUUGUAAACCCAACCAACCAAGCAGGAGUUACUGAUUUUUUUUUUUUAGUUCCAUAGUUCUAAGGAAAAUGCUCUUUUUGCCCUGGGCCAGUGCUAUAAUGUAUUUUCUUCCCUUGGGCCCCUUGGUCUCCCUCAUUCUGCUCUUACCCUCAAAUCACAAUUCAAAAGGAUCUUGUUUCUGGUGGCUCCUCAGCUUCACCUUAUCACCCUAAGCAGCUGCAUCCUCAUAUAGAAAAUGCCAUCCACCCUGUAACAUUUGUCAAAUUCUAGUUAGAGGUAGUUAUGUCUGCAUUCUGGAUCCAUGUUUCUCUACAGAAUCAUAUAUAUGGAAUGCACUUCAAAAAAAAAAAAAAACAUUACUUGGGUCAAAUGAAAUAUUAAACUUAGGAACUAACUGAGUUAGGUUUGCCUAUUCAAAUACAAGCCCCAUACCACCUUGUAUCUUAUACUCUAUCACCAGUAAUUUGAUUUUAGGCUCAAAACUCAAGUCUUGUGAGAUGACUCAGAUUUGCGUAAUCUUCUUCUUUUGUGGAAAGAUGAAUUAGCAUUCAUUAACACAUGCUAUUCAUACAUCUAGGAACAAAUUCAUGUCCUAUUUGCAAAUCCAGCCAUGUCUGUAAGCUUUACCUGCACCAUCUUCUUUAAGACAGCAGGACUUCUAACAACGGAAUGCUGGGUGGCAAACACUAGUGGAAACACAACCAAGUUCUCUACUUACACUGGUACACUGCUCCACAAAACUCAAACACAAACUUCCUUGCAAAGAGUACCAUGAAUUCUGUGGUAACAGCAGCACUUUAUCACACAGCCUCGUCACAAAAAAGUUUCCAGUCCCAGCUAGGCAGGAGACACUGCACAGUCGUAUUACAGUACAGUAGAUGAGCUGUGUGUAAGAGACUCACGCCAGCAACAUGUUGGGCCUUUGCAGCUAUCACGAUAUAUACAAGCACAAGCAAAUAGCACUUCGUUGCCUCCAGCCUGUGAGAGGUAAGAGAAAGGGACAGUAACUGCAUUUUACAUGUUCAGAACUGCCUUACUUGCUAUGGGACCUCAGUGCUGUUUUCAGAUGUGACUUGGCCACACAGCCUUCAAAAGUCUUCAAAGCACUGACUAGUUAUUAAAUCAAUAAAAGCCAGAAGAAGUUAUCUCUUUGAAAAGCUUGACUUCAGGAGCAUACAUCUGACUUUGAUUUGGAAGUACAUAAGUUUCUGUGAGACUCAGCACUCAGGAAAAUGUCUUCAAAGAGAACUUCACCUGUGACAGGACACUGAAGCAACCACUCCAUAAAGGAAAAUUUAGACACAACUGUGGCGAAGAAGAGGCGCAGGCACUGAUUUGUCAGGUAGAAUGAAAAGCAAAAUCAAACCAGCAUUUGAAGCCGAGGCCUCUUACCUACACUUGUUAACAUCCUUACAAGAUCAGUCCCAUUUUCAGAAAAAUGAACACAUUCCAAACUAGAGGUCAGGUGAAAGAAACCUAUUAUCUGGUCCAACAUUUGAAGUAGAGAACAAAUACUGGAUUUUUUUUUUUAAAUUUAAUGUUUAUUUCAGGUGUUUCUCACUUCCAGGUGCACCAUUGCCUAAUAAGACAUAUUGCAAUCACCUAUGCAGGAUGACAACUCCUUACCCCUUUAAGGGGGUUGGAAAAGUAAGCCCAACAAAUCUUCAGCUGUUGUUAGCAUUCAACACGCAGAUGUGGGACUGGUAACUUCAAAACACAGCAGAGGUGAUCCAAUUAGCUUAUACAAAAUUGUUCCAUGAGUUGUGCAUCAUAUUUUCCAGCUACUGUGUACACAGAGCAUGAUACAUGCAGCCCUACGUAAUGCUGGGCCACUGGGUAACAUUGUGUUAUAAUGUAUGCCUACUUCUGUUUCUCCCAAAGUUCAUUCCUAUUCUGAAGAUGCUAAAUCAGAAUAUGAAGGGAAUGAUAAUUUUCAAGUUAAAAUUUAUUUCUGAAGGAUAUUCUGAAGCUUUACAAUGCACCCUUCAAAAUAAAGCAUUCAGAAGAUAAACAGCAAAAUUACCUAGCCUUGCAGAGAGGUUUUCCUGCAAACUCCUUUCAAGUCCCUCCACAUUCUAAUUCCUUUCAAACUGCUUCCCCUACUCACAGCUAACCUAGUCAGGGAAAUGGCUAUGUUCAGUUACACGCGGAAAAACAGCCAAGCACAGCCUUUGUUUUCUAGUUUAAAUAAUUUUAACAUUCAUUAAAUGAAGCCAUUCAUUUAAGAAAUCUCUACUGGACUGGAACCCAUGUUAGUAAACAACUCCAGUCCCAGGUGUAAAGAAAACAAAACAGAACCAAUCAUGGAAGUACUGGAACUAUUUGGCAUUCAUUGAAGUCAUGAUUAUAUAUAUAAAGUGUAUAUGUAUUUCUCUACAUAACUAUAUAAUGGAGAAGAGAAGGCUCUGUGUGAAUGUCAUCAAUGUCUAUACAUAUCUGAAGGAAGAGUGCAAAGAAGACAGAGCCAGAGCUGCCCAAUGCCAAGACAGGAGGCACAGGACAAGUUCAGCUACCUAGACAUAAACUUCUGCUGGUAAUGAACUGGCCUGGAACAAAGACCCAAUUCACCGAAUUUCACUUGAAUUUCCUAUCUGCUGUGUGGAAGAACUCAAAGCAGAGACAUCAAAUCAGCUCAACGCAUGCAUUCAGGAAUAACUGCAAGUAUGGUGAAGUAAGAUGCAGUACAUAGAGGACAGUAAAUUCAGAUGCAAAAGAAUGCAUAUGGCAAACAAAGCCCUAACAUAAGCCACAGCAUUAUUGUUUUGCUUCUGCAUUCAGCCUGUGUAUGAGAAGACAAAUUUGCACCACUGCCAUGAUGAAGGACAACCAAUUCUGCCAGCACAUGCACAGCCCUCCAAGUCUCAACUGGGCAUCUCCUCUGUCCCCCACCACAUAAAGCAGAGCCCAGGUUCAUGGGGUCUCUAUAUUCAAGAUACUGCUUUGUUCCACUGUGUCUCCAGGAAAGAGCUCCCACACUUUUCCCCUGCAUCCACAUUCGAGCAGAGCUGGGAGCAGAGCCAAGGGGAACCAGCCUAGGGACUCCAGGCCAACUUUACUAAUUGUUAUAGAUUUUUAGGUGGAGAUACUACAGAUUCAAGUGUGAGUGAAGUCCAAAUAUUCAGAAAAAUUAUCACUGUAAAAAAAUAGGAGGUAUUUAAAAGGGAAGCCAGGGAAGUGCUGUAAGGAUGACUCAGAAGCUGUCCAAAACAGAGUCUGUAAACAAGACUGAAAAGCACAAAAUAGUGAGCUGCUAGGUCAAGAUCUCAACCUCAUCCAGGUACAUUGGCAGUAACCACAAAAGCUUCCUCCUCAGUAGACAUGAAGCGCUUUCCAGCUAAGGACAUUAACAAAUGUAUUACAUAGUAGUCAGCUUAUGUGAAUUUUAAAUUACGUCAUCCUGGAGAAUGCUUCCAUCUGUGGCUGUCUGAGGAGUACUUACUGCUGCUGAGAAAAACUGAAAAUGGAGAGGUAACAAAGAACAUCAUCUGCAGUGCAGGAUGACCAGACUCAAAAUCAGCACUGCUGAGAACAGAAAGCUGUAGUCUCUUAGCAUUGUCAUAAUGCAAUCAUAGAAUGGCCUGGACCAUAAUGAUCAUCUAGUUUCAAACCCCCCCGCUGUGUGCAGGGUUGCCAACCACUAGACCAGGCUGCCCAGAGCCAUGUCCAGCCUGGCCUUGAAUGCCUCCAG